CCCGACGCAGGUUCCGGUUCCGUUGGCGGCGGCUGAUUGCUACGGUAACGCGGCGGGUAGUCUUGCUCUAGCGAGGACCAGAGAAUUAAGUGGUGGGUGAGCAGCUGAGGACUCGGUGGCGUGUUACCUGAUCUGUAGUCUUGGACCUGCACUGGGUUGGUGGUACCCGAGAGCACACCAGACUUGCAGAAAAAGCAUACUCCAGAGGAAGCUGAGGCAUGCCUGCUCAAGAGCCAGCGGAUCCAUGUGCAAUGUUCCUCUGAUAGGCCCUGGGUACUGUUGCCACGGUGAUGAUGGCUCUGCCGUGCCAUUGUCGAUCCACCAACAGUCAGAGAAGCUUUGCAGUCAAGAUAUUGUUUAGCAGACGGAGUGGUUUCUGUUGGACACUUAAGGACUGCUACACAACUUCAAGUUACUAAGCAUGUUGCCGGAGGCUACCUGUUUUCGUCUGGGGAGUAAUGUGAAAGCAGAAAGUGCACACAAGUCAUCAAUGGAGUCUGCGAAAUCAUGGCUCAGCGGGAAACUGAGCCAAGUAAACUGUGAAGACAGAUGGAUGGGGACAGUGCCCAGCCUCUUCCUUGUCAGUCAGUGUUGUGGACGCUUGCUCUUUUUUCUAAUGACAAGCCUGAAGUGAAAAUCUUUUUAUUUUGCAGACCCUUUGAUCCCAGACACCAUACAAAGACACACACAAGAAAUACUGGAAUGGAACCGCUGCUCUGAAAGUCAGUCUGUACCCUCAGCAGCAGAGAGUCUGUUGAAUUGCCUCCAGAAACGGCAAGCUUUUUUAUUCAUGCUAGCAUUGCCAAAUGUAAUUUUCCUUUUAAAAAUAAAAUAAAUAAAGACUGGCAAUUUGCUUGUGGGAA